UACAAAUGGCAAUGGGUUUUGAUGGG
rnacentral:piRNA from 1 species